rnacentral:rRNA from 1 species
UACGUAGGUGGCAAGCGUUGUCCGGAUUUAUUGGGUUUAAAGGGCGCGUAGGCGGCUCAUGAAGGCUGUGGUGAAAGUCCGGGGCUCAACCUCGGAUCGGCCGUGGCGACUCGUGGGCUGGAGCACUGUAGAGGCGGGUGGAAUUCCGGGUGUAGCGGUGGAAUGCGUAGAGAUCCGGAAGAACACCAGUGGCGAAGGCGGCCCGCUGGGCAGUGGCUGACGCUGAGGCGCGACAGCGUGGGGAGCAAACAGG